UACAGAGGGGGCAAGCGUUGUUCGGAAUUACUGGGCGUAAAGGGCGCGUAGGCGGCCACCUAAGUCAGACGUGAAAUCCCUCGGCUCAACCGGGGAACUGCGUCUGAUACUGGGCGGCUUGAAUUCGGGAGAGGGAUGCGGAAUUCCAGGUGUAGCGGUGAAAUGCGUAGAUAUCGAGAGGAACACCUGCGGCGAAGGCGGGUUGCUGGGCCGACACUGACGCUGAGGCGCGAAAGCCAGGGGAGCGAACGGG
rnacentral:rRNA from 1 species